UAGGGUGUGGCUCAGCAGUAGAAUGUGUACUUGGCAUGUACAAGGCCCUGGGUUCAAUUCCCCGCACUGAAA
rnacentral:tRNA from 1 species